UACGGAGGGUGCAAGCGUUAUCCGGAAUUAUUGGGCGUAAAGAGCUCGUAGGCGGUUUGUCGCGUCGAAUGUGAAAACCCGGGGCUCAACCCCGGGCCUGCAUUCGAUACGGGCAGACUAGAGUUCGGUAGGGGAGUCUGGAAUUCCUGGUGUAGCGGUGAAAUGCGCAGAUAUCAGGAGGAACACCGGUGGCGAAGGCGGGACUCUGGGCCGAUACUGACGCUGAGGAGCGAAAGCGUGGGGAGCAAACAGG
rnacentral:rRNA from 1 species